CGUUGACCUGCUCCGCUGGGCGUUGACCGACCCCGCCGGGCGUUGACCGACCAUGCUGGGCGUUGACCAACCCCGCCGGGCGUUGACCGGACCCUAAUUUGAUGUUGAAUGAGCGUUGACUUCGACGCUUAUGGGUCAAAGCUCGUGGUAGGUGACGAAGCCUUUGUGUGUCGGCUUCCCACAGACGGCGCCAAUGUUAAUGCUUGGAUCCGCGGGGAUCUAAUUAACGAUAAGUAAAGAGAGUGAGAGAGAGAGAGAGUGACACAAGAUGUAUAGUGGUUCAUCUCCCGCCUUUGCGGGAAACUACGUCCACUUGAAAGCUUAUACUAGUGUGUCGAGCCUUGCGGCCC
rnacentral:lncRNA from 1 species